GAUGAACGCUGGCGGCGUGCCUAAUACAUGCAAGUCGAGCGAACAGACGAGGAGCUUGCUCCUUUGACGUUAGCGGCGGACGGGUGAGUAACACGUGGAUAACCUACCUAUAAGACUGGGAUAACUUCGGGAAACCGGAGCUAAUACCGGAUAAUAUAUUGAACCGCAUGGUUCAAUAGUGAAAGACGGCUUUGCUGUCACUUAUAGAUGGAUCCGCGCCGCAUUAGCUAGUUGGUAAGGUAACGGCUUACCAAGGCAACGAUGCGUAGCCGACCUGAGAGGGUGAUCGGCCACACUGGAACUGAGACACGGUCCAGACUCCUACGGGAGGCAGCAGUAGGGAAUCUUCCGCAAUGGGCGAAAGCCUGACGGAGCAACGCCGCGUGAGUGAUGAAGGUCUUCGGAUCGUAAAACUCUGUUAUUAGGGAAGAACAAAUGUGUAAGUAACUGUGCACGUCUUGACGGUACCUGAUCAGAAAGCAACGGCUAACUACGUG
rnacentral:rRNA from 1 species